rnacentral:rRNA from 1 species
GAACUAACAAGGAUUCCCCUAGUAACUGCGAGUGAAGCGGGAAAAGCUCAAAUUUAAAAUCUGGUAGUCUUUGGCUGCCCGAGUUGUAAUCUAGAGAAGUGUUAUCCGCGCUGGACCGUGUACAAGUCUCCUGGAAUGGAGCGUCAUAGAGGGUGAGAAUCCCGUCUUUGACACGGACUACCAGGGCUUUGUGAUGCGCUCUCAAAGAGUCGAGUUGUUUGGGAAUGCAGCUCUAAAUGGGUGGUAAAUUCCAUCUAAAGCUAAAUAUUGGCGAGAGACCGAUAGCGAACAAGUACCGUGAGGGAAAGAUGAAAAGAACUUUGGAAAGAGAGUUAAACAGUACGUGAAAUUGUUGAAAGGGAAACGCUUGAAGUCAGUCGCGUUGGCCAGGGAUCAACCUUGCUUUCUGCUUGGUGUACUUUCUGGUUGAUGGGUCAGCAUCAAUUUUGACCAGUGGAAAAAGAUCAGAGGAAUGUGGCAUCUUCGGAUGUGUUAUAGCCUUUGGUUGUAUACAUUGGUUGGGAUUGAGGAACUCAGCACGCCGCAAGGCCGGGUGUAAACCACGUUCGUGCUUAGGAUGCUGGCAUAAUGGCUUUAAUCGACCCGUCUUGAAACACGGACCAAGGAGUCUAACAUGCCUGCAAGUGUUUGGGUGGAAAACCCAAGCGCGUAAUGAAAGUGAAAGUUGGGAUCCCUGUCGUGGGGAGCACCGACGCCCGGACCAGACCUUCUGUGACGGUUCCGCGGUAGAGCAUGUAUGUUGGGACCCGAAAGAUGGUGAACUAUGCCUGAAUAGGGUGAAGCCAGAGGAAACUCUGGUGGAGGCUCGUAGCGAUUCUGACGUGCAAAUCGAUCGUCGAAUUUGG